rnacentral:rRNA from 1 species
UACGUAGGGGGCAAGCGUUGUCCGGAUUUAUUGGGCGUAAAGAGCGUGUAGGCGGCCAGACAGGUCCGUUGUGAAAACUCGAGGCUCAACCUCGAGACGCCGAUGGAAACCGUCUGGCUAGAGUCCGGAAGAGGAGAGUGGAAUUCCUGGUGUAGCGGUGAAAUGCGUAGAUAUCGGGAGGAACACCUGUGGCGAAAGCGGCUCUCUGGACCACAACUGACGCUGAGGCGCGAAAGCUAGGGGAGCAAACAGG